rnacentral:rRNA from 1 species
UACGUAGGGUGCGAGCGUUGUCCGGAAUUACUGGGCGUAAAGAGCUCGUAGGUGGUUUGUCGCGUUGUUCGUGAAAACUCACAGCUCAACUGUGGGCGUGCGGGCGAUACGGGCAGACUGGAGUACUGCAGGGGAGACUGGAAUUCCUGGUGUAGCGGUGGAAUGCGCAGAUAUCAGGAGGAACACCGGUGGCGAAGGCGGGUCUCUGGGCAGUAACUGACGCUGAAGCACGAAGGCCAGGGGAGCAAACGGG